ACGGAAGGCAGCAGUGGGGAAUAUUGCACAAUGGGGGAAACCCCGAUGCAGCAACGCCGCGUGAGUGAAGAAGUAUUUCGGUAUGUAAAGCUCUAUCAGCAGGAAAGAAAAUGACGGUACCUGACUAAGAAGCCCCGGCUAACUACGUGCCAGCAGCCGCGGUAAUACGUAGGGGGCAAGCGUUAUCCGGAUUUACUGGGUGUAAAGGGAGCGUAGACGGCUUUGCAAGUCUGAAGUGAAAGCCCGGGGCUCAACCCCGGAACUGCUUUGGAAACUGUAGAGCUAGAGUGCAGGAGAGGUAAGUGGAAUUCCUAGUGUAGCGGUGAAAUGCGUAGAUAUUAGGAGGAACACCAGUGGCGAAGGCGGCUUACUGGACUGUAACUGACGUUGAGGCUCGAAGGCGUGGGGAGCAAACAGGAUUAGAUACCCUGGUA
rnacentral:rRNA from 1 species